CUUCAUCGUAGCAUUAUAAAGCUUGUUGGAGAGAGGGUGGAGGAGAGGGAAGAGGGGGCGGGGGCAGUUAUUUUCUGCUAGUUUGGUGUGCAUAUGUGCCCCCUCCACCCUGUCAUGCCCUACAGACCCAUUCUCACACUUUUGAACUGUUAACAUGGUGACACCUGCCUGUUUGGCAGAAAGAAUGGCAUCUGUUCCAUGCAAUAGAAAGCACUGGAAAGACAGUUUAUCCAAUUUAGAUAUGUGUAGGUUUUCAAAAACAAACACUGUUAAUGAACUACUGUGCUGACAUAUGCAGAAUGCCCAACAACUAAUUUAAUACUAGUGCCACUGAUCGAAUCUCCCUGUGGCCUGUGUAUCCUGCACUGCAUCUCAAUGAGAGGACGCAAGCGCCUGAGACAGACAGGGUGACACAGUCACACAGCUAAAUGAAGGUAAUGCUGAGUGCUCCAUUUUGACACUGCAGUGUUUGCAUAAUCAGAUGUGCUAUAAGGUGACCUCUUUGCCGGUGUCACUGCGAUUGCCUCCUCAGCAUGCCUCGUGUUGAUUGACAGGUCGACUAACGAGUUCUGCCUCUGUGCACUCAGGUGUGGAGGUGAGGCCAUGGUAGUGCAGAGGGACUGUGGGAGUGGAGGAUGAUGGCAGUGUUAAGGAAGGCAAGGUGACCCGCUGUUAAAAGCAGGGGGCAGGAACGUGGAGGAGGCCCAGCUGUUCCCUCUGACAGUAGCCCGGCUGGAGGAGUUCUUAGGCAGGCUGGGGGGUCCUCAGUUUUUGCGUCCCUAACCUUGCCCCACUGAUCCGGAUGAACAAUAAUGGAGGAGGCACUGUGAGUGUGCAAUGGACCAGGACAGUCUGAGACGAGAGGGAACUGCUUUGAGAAAUCUCUAGCUAAGUCUUGCUAUGUUAAGAUCGAGUGUGUGUGUGUGUGUGUGUGUGUGGUACAACUGCAUACUGCUGUGUUUAGCUUUCCUACCCUAACUCUAAUUCUGUUGAGGUGAACAGUCAGGUGAACAUUUCCUUUGUCUGAUAAAACCUUUUUAUCAGGAGGCAGCUUCUAGCUAAAAGUUUACGUGCAUACUCACUGAAUUAAUGGUAGAGAACUCCACGUAUGUGUGCCAUUUUGCAUUAGAGUUACAUAGACAAGGCAAAUUGACUAUUGAGAAAUUUGGGAAAAUUCCCAGUAAGCCGUUUUACUUUCCUUUGCGUGGGCUGACAAUUUCUGUUUGUUUUUUUCUGAGUUUAUUAUUUUUGCAUAUCCUUCUUGCUCAUUUGCACUCUCUGGCACAUUUGCAUGCAUACAAUAUGAUGUGCUAUUCGUUAGUAAACCGAUAAACGAUUUUGAAGAUACAGUAACCAUUGUAAGAUACUGAACCAUUAUAAACAAGACAUGAGAGAAAUCUUUUCACUUAUUACAUUUUUUUAAAUCUGGGCAAAUAUUCUAAAUCAUUCAACUACCCACUAAUUUAUUUAUAGUUCCAUUGAGUGCAGGUGACAUGCAGAAUUUUAGUUAGGAAAAAUAAGGCAUAACUGAAGAGGUUUGGAUGAAGAUAAAAUGAAAUAUAGGAUGUAGGUUUUAUUGUGCACAUGUAGUUUGGGUCAUGUGAUCAGAGUUACAAAAUUAAAGCUAUGGAGUUAAAAAAUAGAAUUGUUCGCUAGAUUGUCCACUUGACUUUGUGACUUCAAAUGGCUAUACUGAGUCCAGAAAGCUUGUCAGAAAUGGCAGUACACAAUAAAAUGCUAGACACUGAAAAGAGCAACACAUAUAUAAGUGCACCCAGAUGAGUCCAGAUCCACUUGAGUCACCAAGGAUAUACAAAAUAAAAUAAUAUACUCUUAACUAAUAACAACAUCAAACUGAACAAAAAAGUCGUUUUUAAGUGAAUCACUUGGACAGACGGAUAUUUUUCAGUGUGUGGUCAAAGUCAGUAUUUUUUUCUUAGGGUCAUUGUAAAGUCUCAGAGCAGUAUUGUGUGUUAAGAGACAUUUAGAAGACAUUAAACAGUCUUGUCAGCUCUCUUAGCUAGUGGGACCUCUGCCAAUACCUGGAGUUAUGGCACCAUAUCUGUGAGUCUUCAGGGGAAUAAAGGUGUGUGAAAUGACAGGAGUGUCACUGCUUCCUGGGAUUGAUUUAGCUGUGAGAUCUGUUCCACUGACAGCAUGCAAUGUGCCGUGUUUGGCUGUGUGUAUUUACCACUGUGGCUGUCAUCUCUGUCAGCAUUAUCUGGAAGAAGUGAUUGGGUGGUGAUGUCCUAUUAGACAUCCCCUGUACAUUUGGGUAAAAAAAAAAAGUUGUUGACUGUUCCUAUAAGGAUGUAUUCCUAGGUAGAUUUAGUUUUCUGUCUAGUUUUUCUCUUCUUUAUCGUACUGGUUCUCAUCUUUCCUUUUUUUUUGCUGCUUCACUUUACUUUUUUUCUGUCACCCACAGCCUCUCUGUCUCUCUCUCUCUCUCUCUCUCUCUCUCUCUCUCUCUCUCUCUCUCUCUCUCUCUCUCUCUCUCUCUCUCUCUCUCUCUCUCUCUCUCUCUCGCUCACUCUGUAUGUUCUGGGUCUCAGUCAGGCCCAGAUGUCCCUCUGUACUCCUUGUCUCUUUUAUGUAGCUGUUAAUGAGGGAGUCACAUAUGGCCUUCACCCUUGUUAGAAGGACUGGGUGACACUUUUGGGGAGUGUGGGGGUGGUUGUGUCGUUCGGGUGGUGAGCAUGUGGGUGGGCAGCAGUUCUGUCUCUCUGGCACACAGAGGGCAUGUGGAGGGCACAGUUCCAGGCAUAGAGUCUGAAAGGUCACGGAAAAUGGUUAAAUGUUUGCUACUGUUAGUACUAACUACUCUUAGCUGGUCCUUCCUUUUUAAUUAUUAGUUGUUAAACAGGAAUUGUAUUACUUACAUUCAGUGAACAGAAUGGCCAUGAUCCACUUAGAGUAAUCCCUUACCCAAACCUCCCAUGCAUUUUACACACAUUUAUAUGUUCUUUGAAUGUGACUUUUGUAAGAAACGUAUGACAGAGUUGUACAGGUUAUACCCUGAAAUUGUACACGAUGAACCAAAAUUCGUACAUAAUUAAAUGUGAAAUAUAAGGAUGUGACAAUACAAGAACCAUGUGGAAAAAAUAAAAACACAUGAGCUGCAUGUGAAAUGAGUGAGGUGUCUAAAAACAUAUAUAAGUGUGAAUAAUAAAAACGUGUGACUUU